rnacentral:rRNA from 1 species
UAAUACAUCGGAACGUGUCCUAUGGGGGGAGGUAAUAGCCCGAAAGGGCAGCUAAUACCGCAUGAGACCUGAGGGUGAAAGCGGGGGAUCGCAAGACCUCGCGCUGGAAGAGCGGCAGAUGUCCGAUUAGCUAGUUGGUGAGGUAAAGGCUCACCAUGGCGACGAUCGGUAGCUGGUCUGAGAGGACGACCAGCCACACUGGGACUGAGACACGGCCCAG